CCCCCCCCACCACACACACACCCUGGUCCCUUCCUCCAGGCCCCUCCCCACACAUCCACAGCCCUGUCCAUCCGUGUCCCACCGACUCCUGGUCUCAGCGUCAGAGCCUACCCGCAGCCCGGUUCUCUCGCGUCUCCAGGCCUUUUGCCCAGAUGGCUCCUCUGCCUACCCUGCCUCCUGCUUCGUUCCCACCUGCUUAGCCGGGCUGUCGGUUCCGACCACCUCCGUGGCUCAUCCAGGCUCCUCGGUGUUUCAUAGGCCCCCGAACCACAGCUGUGCUCACAUCCUACUUCUGGCCUCACCUGGCCCUUUACCCCAUUUCAUCCCCACCCUGCACCCUUGCUGGGGGACAGGGCAGGGGUUGUGUCUCCAUUCGACAGAGGGGAAAGCUGAGGCCCGGAGAGGCUCUGGGGCUUGCCCAGGACCACUCCGCUGCUCAGUGGCAGGUCUGACAUGAGCACUGGCCUUCUGACCCUCAGCCUGCUCUUCUCCCCCUUGCACCACGGAGACGCGGUCUUCAGUGGGCACGGCCUCCACCUUCCCAGGAGGCAGGAGCGAGCUUGACUGGAAGAUUGAUUCGGGGCUCAGACUCUCAAGGGCUCGGCUCUAGGGUGAGGAGCUAAUCGGCUGGAGCCAUGCAGCGUUUGUGGUUCUAGAGGUAGGAGCAGGAACAGUGGGCUCACUGUUUGCCUCCAAAGCCAGAGCCUUCUCCCGGUUUCUGGGGAGUCAGGGUGAGCCCUAAGGGAGGCAGAGGGGGUGUGAGCCUCUCCGUGGCCAAGAGGGAGUCUUGCCCGAAGCUGCCGGAAGGCUCAGGAGGGUCAAGAGCCCAGCCGGGGCGGUGGUGUUCGCCCUGCACCCAGAAGGCAGGACACGGAGGCAGGAGAAGGCAGGAGAGCGGGGAGGCGGAUGGAGAAGUGAGGGCCACACGCAGGCCAGGGAGCCUUGGGAAGGGGCGCAGAACCAAGACCCGGGACGGCACAGGGGUCCCCUCUUUGUUCCUCGGCUGUCGGGCUCCAUGGGGACUUCAAAGCCUCCUCCCCGCAAUCGGCACCCUCACAAACCCCAUUACGAGCCAGGGACAAACGUCCUGACUCCUCACGUCCCCGGGUGCCGUCAGCCUGCCGAACCCACCGAUUUUAGAACCAGCUUCCCGCGAUGAGCCACAUUCCACACAGGGGAAGAGAAGCGGCCUCUGAGCUCAGACCCCCAAGCAUGGAUUUUUACUGUGGGAGGUCUCAGCUACGGGAGGGUGUGACCAAAAUGCCGAGAGGUCAUUAGCUGAAGAGGGCGGGAGCACCAGCCCUUUGCCGACGGUAGGACACCCGAGGCACCCUGAUCUUGGCGGAGCGGCCCCUCCACGUUGGCGGUCUCCUUAUCAGCCCUUCCUGGCCACCGGUGUUUUCGCGACACUGUCAUUCCUUUCGGGAAGACGAGCUCUAGGGACGGAGGGAGGGAGGCGACGGUCUGUUCUGCUGUAAGCAAAACACCAGUUCCGGGAAUCGUGGGCCUCCUCCCACGUUCAGUUAUUUCUCCCCGGGGGGAUUUGAGCGCAUCCUCCUGGGUUACAACCUUCCCCCCGCUCCGUGCAACGUGGUGCCUCUGUCACCAUCUCACCGUGCACGGAAGCGAGGUGACGCUUAGGGGGGAGCGCGGGAGACGGAUCUGGAGCCUGCGGCAGCUCCGCGGGGCUCGGGUCGAGCACGGGCUUGACAGGUUGAAGCAAGUGUGGUCGUUCUCGCAGUGUCGAUGGUGGCGGUUCUCAGAGCACAAAUUCCAUGGGGGUAGGGAGCCGGGGGGUGGGGUGGUUUUGCCCUUGUCGCACAGCCCGCCCACAGUAGGUGCUCACAAAUAUUUUUUAAAUAAGUGAAUGGACCAAGUGUUUCCAAAACACUGGUCCCCUGAGGGGCCCCAUGACAACUGGAUCCUACGGUCAAAUAACUUGGGCAACCAUGUGUUGUCUGGAAGGUUUGCAGUACGCCUUAGACAGUCAAGGCUCUGAGAAGUCCCGCAGCGAAGGAUUUCCAUCGUAUUUUUAGCUAACCUUUCCCCAACCCGUUUGGUCACAGACGCCCUUUCCCUCUAUGCCCUGGGUCAUGCUCUGGGAGACGCCGGUGUGGAGAGUGAGUCCAUCAAAGGCAGGGCUGGGAGGCGGGAGAGCACUGUGCCGAGGGUCCAGUCUCAGCCUCUCAUUCUGACGCUUACCUUGUGGGCAGCCGGUGACUAGUGUUCACGAUGAGAAUGUGAACAACAGCGGCCCUCAUUUUUUCAGAAUAUUCCGGGCUGGGGGGAAUCCUUGGGGACACAGUGACAGCAGCGAGCAAUGGAGCCGUGGCCUGCUCCCUCUGAGACUUCCUACCUGCGUCCGCACGGCCCCAGUUGUGUGUCCCACCUGCCCGGGGGCCUCGGCACCACUGACAGCCUGGGGCUCCUCCUGACCGGCUACAGCGCCGCCCCUCUCCCACUCUUGCGUCUCGGACCCCCCACCCCCCUGCCCGGGUCUCUGUCCAUUCUCUGCGGCAACACCUCUCCCCGUGCAGAGGGACCCCACAGACGGCCCGCCUUGUCCCCGCACAGCCUGCCGCGACCAGCCACCAGGGAGCGCUCCGCCCCUUGCCCCAGUUGCAGCGGGAGUCCUGGGGUGGGGGAUGGGGUGGAAGGUUCUCCCCGGCCCCGCCCAGUGUCCUCGGACCAGGACGGGGUAACCCACACCCCGCCCUCCCUCGGGAGAGCUCUCUUAGGGGCUUCGAGCCCCGUCCAGGUCGCAAGAGUCCUCCUACCCAGAGCCACUGGGAGGCCACCGGGCUGGGCCGGCUUCCCCAAGUGGCCUUGCUCGGCUGUUCCUCUGCCCGCUGGGCCUCUAGGCCACCGGUGAGGUUGCCAUGGGGACCGUGGGAAGCAGGCCGCGCGGCGGGGAUGGGGCCGCAUGGCUGGCCGCCAGUCGAGGCCUUCCGGGGCCCACGGUCGCCCUGUCGGGGGCCGAGACCAUUGAAGGGAGGGCCUGCUUGAAGUCACAGUGAAUGAGGGGUUUAGCUGCCUUCAGACCUGCUUCACCCCACCCCAUGCCGUUGCCGUCACCCCACACCAUCUCCUUCUAAGACACCAGGCUGCUGCCCCAAGAAGGGAAGGGACUUUUUGAUCAUAUCGAGGCCCCAGGGAGAAACUAGCCGUGAACAGGGAAAUCUCCGCUAACAGAGCGUCUCUUCAGGGCUCCCCAGGGCGCCCCGCCCAGCAUCCCGGAUCGGGACACGGGGGAAAUGGUGGGGACCCCGCUCUGCAGGGGCGCAAGGCAGGCCGGGGGAGCCUGGAGGUUGCCCGGCGACCGAGCAGGGGUCUGAGCCCAGGUGGGCCUGGGCAGGGGCGCUGCUCCAGCCUCCAGCCUGCUUUGCCCGGACAUCAGAGUGAGACGGACCUGGUUCUGACGCUCUCCGUCUUGUAAGCUCAGAGGAGCCCCUUGGCCACUCAGAACCUCAGUUUCCCCAUCUGUGCGUUGCCCCUGGAACUGAGCUGCUCCUGGUGGCGUCUCCGUUGCCCACAGCGUUGGGGCUGCAUCAGAAAAGCUGCACAAUGUCACCCUGGCCCUGGAGCUGCUCAAGGACGAAGGCCUGCUCAGCUACCCCAUCAACCCCGAAGACAUCGUGAACAAGGACACCAAGAGCACGUUACGCGUCCUCUACAGCCUGUUUCGCAAGCACAAGCUGAAAGAAAACGCCGACAGCACGCCCCGUGGAUCCCCGAAUUAACUGUCACUGCCCCCCCAAAGCUGCUUCUCUGAGCCUGCUUGCAGGACCCAAGGGAGGGCCCAAGGGCCACAGAGGGACCUCCCCCACCAUACAGCCGGCUGCCCUCUGUUUCCCUGUGUGUCUGUGGCACGCCUGCCCCUUCCCCCCAUCCCUGAUCCGUGUUUCCAUCCGAAUAUCUUUGAAUUCACUAGGCCUGGAUCUGUUUUGAACCAACCUCUGGCCUCACUCAGUUUACAGUAACUAAUGUAGUUCUGGGAGGGAUUGGGGGAGCCUGCGGUGCCCUGGGAAGGACCCUUCAAUAUGCAUAAGUACGAGCUGACCCCCCAAAGCAGUUCCCCUUUCCGUGGGGCGGGGCGUGGAAGGUUCUCAGGGCCUCAUCUCUGAGGGCAUCCGUGGGAGCAGCGAAGAGACCAAUGAUGCUGACCUUCACUCGGGCUCCUGUGUCCGACUUUGGGAGCAGAAAGGACUCUCAGGUGUCAGGGCUGAAGAUCGGAGGCCCCAGCCUGCCUCUGUCUCAGCGUGAUGGGCCCCAGGAUCACCAUCCAGAGGCAGGAGUCUCACCUGGCCCCCAAACCAAGCCCCCGAGCCCCUUGGGGGAAGUUAAUCCACUUACUUGCCAGAGGAGCCAUGGCCCAGAGCCACCCCUGCAGCUCGAUGGUGAGCCUUGCCCGGAAGUCACAAAGGAGAAAUCUUUGUGGCUGACGAGUAGGUCGGAUGGUCUCCUGGUCUGUCCCCAGGGAUGUGCCAUCACGUCACGCUGUCUCUGACCCAGCCAGAAAGUGGCCAUCUGCAAGCCGCGAGGAGGCCUCUCACCAGGAGCUGAACCUGCCGGCACCUUGACCUCGGACUUCCAGCCUCUAGAACCAUGAGCGAUGAAUGUCUGGCGUCUAAGCCCCCCGGUCUGCCGUGUGCUGUCACAGCAGCCUGAGCUGACCAACCCGGAUUCCCCAGACCGUCAUUCCUCAGGGAAGUAAAACCACCGGACAGCCCGCUGCGCACCUCCCGUCACAGCCAAGUUGAAGAGUCUGACGACAUCAAGUGUGGGCAAGGACGUGGAGCCCCGGGACCUGGCACACGUUGCGGGUGGGGAUGCGUGUGCGGCAAGGAGUUCGGCGGGUUCCUUCCGGACUAAAACAGACCCUCCUCGUCCGACCCGGCCGAUUCACGGCUAGGUGUUCAUCCGAGAGAAACGAAAACGUACGUCUACGCCAAGACCUGCACGCACAUGGCAGUGCUGUUCACAGACGCCUCAGAUCGGGAAGGACUCAGACGUCCGUCGCUGGCAAAGGCAUACACGGGUCACAGGGCGUCCGCGCACUGGGUUCUGCGUGGCCCCGAGGGAGGGGGUGCCGAUGCAGAGCCAGCGGGCAAGACCCCAGGAGCACGGGGCGGGUGACAGACGGGAGGCCCAGCAGGCGAUGCGCUGAUGCUACAGUUUGUAAGAAAUUCUAGAAAAGGCCAGAC